UGUCACAUUUGUGAAGAUACCCUUCUCUUUCACAAUAAUCUGAAGAUAAAACCGAAAAGCAGAUAAUGAUUUCGGUUUUAGAUGUUUAUACUCACAUAACAAGAAAUCAAGUCAAAAUUUCCAAAAGGCUUGUUUAAAAAACAGUCAACUAAACAUGUUGCUGGAAAAAAAGAAAA